rnacentral:rRNA from 1 species
GACGAACGCUGGCGGCGUGCUUAACACAUGCAAGUCGAACGGAAAGGCCCUGCUUUUGUGGGGUGCUCGAGUGGCGAACGGGUGAGUAACACGUGAGUAACCUGCCCUUGACUUUGGGAUAACUUCAGGAAACUGGGGCUAAUACCGGAUAGUAGCUCCUGCUGCAUGGUGGGGGUUGGAAAGUUUCGGCGGUUGGGGAUGGACUCGCGGCUUAUCAGCUUGUUGGUGGGGUAGUGGCUUACCAAGGCUUUGACGGGUAGCCGGCCUGAGAGGGUGACCGGCCACAUUGGGACUGAGAUACGGCCCAGACUCCUACGGGAGGCAGCAGUGGGGAAUAUUGCACAAUGGGCGGAAGCCUGAUGCAGCAACGCCGCGUGCGGGAUGACGGCCUUCGGGCUGUAAACCGCUUUCGCCUGUGACGAAGCGUGAGUGACGGUAAUGGGUAAAGAAGCACCGGCUAACUACGUG